AGUGAACGUUGGCGGCGUGGAUUAGGCAUGCAAGUCGAGCGAGAACCGUAGCAAUACGGGGACAGCGGCGAAAGGGACAGUAAUGUGUAGGUACCUACCUCCGGGUUCGGGAUAGCUGCGGGAAACUGCAGGUAAUACCGAAUAACGUCUCCGGACCAAAGGUGUGAUUCCACCUGGAGAGGGGCCUGCAUCCUAUUAGCUUGUUGGCGGGGUAACGGCCCACCAAGGCGACGAUGGGUAGCGGGUGUGAGAGCACGACCCGCGUCGUUGGGACUGAGACACUGCCCAGACACCUACGGGUGGCUGCAGUCGAGGAUCUUCGGCAAUGGGCGCAAGCCUGACCGAGCGACGCCGCGUGCGGGAUGAAGGCCUUCGGGUUGUAAACCGCUGUCGUAGAGGAGGAAGUGCAGGGGAGUUCUCCCCCCUGUUUGACCUAUUCUAGGAGGAAGGACGGGCUAAGUUCGUGCCAGCCGCCGCCGUAA
rnacentral:rRNA from 1 species